rnacentral:rRNA from 1 species
AGGACGAACGCUGGCGGCGUGCUUAACACAUGCAAGUCGAGCGGAAAGGCCCUUCGGGGUACUCGAGCGGCGAACGGGUGAGUAACACGUGAGCAACCUGCCCUUAGCUCUGGGAUAGCUCCGGGAAACCGGAAUUAAUACCGGAUACGACCUAGGCCGACAUCGGCCGUGGUGGAAAGUUUUUCGGCUAGGGAUGGACUCGCGGCCUAUCAGCUAGUUGGUGGGGUAAAGGCCUACCAAGGCGACGACGGGUAGCCGGCCUGAGAGGGCGACCGGCCACACUGGGACUGAGACACGGCCCAGACUCCUACGGGAGGCAGCAGUGGGGAAUCUUGCGCAAUGGGCGAAAGCCUGACGCAGCGACGCCGCGUGGGGGAUGAAGGCCUUCGGGUUGUAAACCCCUUUCAGCAGGGACGAAGCGAAAGUGACGGUACCUGCAGAAGAAGCGCCGGCUAACUACGCGCCAGCAGCCGC